GAUGAACGCUGGCGGCGUGCCUAAUACAUGCAAGUCGAGCGAACAGACGAGGCUCUUUCUUCUCUUACGUUACCGGCGGACGGGUGAGUAACACGUAGAUAACCUACCUAUAAGACUGGGAUAACUUCGGGAAACCUGAGCUAAUACCGGAUAAUAUAUUGAACCGCAUGGUUCAUUAGUGAAAGACGGUUUUGCUGUCACUUAUUCAUCGAACCGGGCCGGAUUAGCUAGUUGGUAAGGUAACGGCUUACCAAGGCGACGAUGCGUAGCUGACCUGAGAGGAUGAUCGGCCACACUGGAACUGAGACACGGUCCAGACUCCUACGGGAGGCAGCAGUAGGGAAUCUUGCACAAUGGGCGAAAGCUUGACGGAGCAACGCCGCGUGAGUGAUGAAGGUCUUCGGAUCGUAAAACUCUGUAAUUAGGGAAGAACAAAUGUGAAAGUAUCUAUGCACGUCUUGACGGUACCUAAUGAGAAAGCAACGGCUAACUACGUG
rnacentral:rRNA from 1 species